rnacentral:rRNA from 1 species
AGUGAACGCUGGCGGUAGGCCUAACACAUGCAAGUCGAACGGCAGCACAGUAGGAGCUUGCUCUUACGGGUGGCGAGUGGCGGACGGGUGAGGAAUACAUCGGAAUCUACUUUUUCGUGGGGGAUAACGUAGGGAAACUUACGCUAAUACCGCAUACGACCUACGGGUGAAAGCAGGGGAUCUUCGGACCUUGCGCGAUUGAAUGAGCCGAUGUCGGAUUAGCUAGUUGGCGGGGUAAAGGCCCACCAAGGCGACGAUCCGUAGCUGGCCUGAGAGGAUGAUCAGCCACACUGGAACUGAGACACGGUCCAGACUCCUACGGGAGGCAGCAGUGGGGAAUAUUGGACAAUGGGCGCAAGCCUGAUCCAGCCAUACCGCGUGGGUGAAGAAGGCCUUCGGGUUGUAAAGCCCUUUUGUUGGGAAAGAAAAGCAGCAGGUUAAUACCCCGCUGUUCUGACGGUACCCAAAGAAUAAGCACCGGCUAACUUCGUG